rnacentral:lncRNA from 1 species
CAGCUUUUCUGACUCUGGGGCCAGGUGUUUGUAUUUAACUCCACGGUGAGGAGACUCAUCUUCUGACGGACCUAGCCUAUUCCAUCAAGCUCCAGCAUCACAAGCAAAGACAAGAACCUUGCAGAAACUAUUUAACUAACUCCCACAAUUGCAUAAGGAUCUAAAUGACAAUAUUUCUGCAGUGAACCAGUUCUAUUGUUUUAAAUAUCACCCUUAUUAAAGAGAGCUUUGACACUU